rnacentral:rRNA from 1 species
UGAGUGAUGAAGGUCUUAAGAUCGUAAAACUCUGUUGUUAGGGAAGAACAAAUUUGUUAGUAACUGAACAAGUCUUGACGGUACCUAACCAGAAAGCCACGGCUAACUACGUGCCAGCAGCCGCGGUAAUACGUAGGUGGCAAGCGUUAUCCGGAAUUAUUGGGCGUAAAGCGCGCGUAGGCGGUUUCUUAAGUCUGAUGUGAAAGCCCACGGCUCAACCGUGGAGGGUCAUUGGAAACUGGGGAACUUGAGUGCAGAAGAGGAGAGUGGAAUUCCAUGUGUAGCGGUGAAAUGCGCAGAGAUAUGGAGGAACACCAGUGGCGAAGGCGGCUCUCUGGUCUGUAACUGACGCUGAUGUGCGAAAGCGUGGGGAUCAAACAGGAUUAGAUACC